UAAUAUGUCAAAAGCACAUUAUGAAGCAGAA
rnacentral:piRNA from 1 species